rnacentral:ncRNA from 1 species
UUGAAAUCGUUGAUAAGGAGAAGUAAAUAGGCUAUCGCUUUUUUAGAGAGGAUUACCAUCGGCUGAAAGUAAUCUAUGCGUAUACCUAUUGAAAUGCACCUUAGAGACUUCUGUUGAAAACUGAGGUUAGUAAGCAGGAGCGGGUAUCGCCGUUACACGAGAUGAGUUGGAGUGCGUAUCUGCACUCAAGCAGAGUGGAACCGCGUAUAAGAAACGUCUCUGUG